UACGUAGGGGGCAAGCGUUGUCCGGAAUCAUUGGGCGUAAAGGGCGCGUAGGCGGUGCGGUAAGUCACCUGUGAAAUCUCCUGGCUCAACUGGGAGCUGCAGGGCGAAACUGCCGUGCUGGAGUGUGGGGAGAGGGUGAGUGGAAUUCCUGGUGUAGCGGUGGGAAAUGCGCAGAGUAUCAGGAGGAACACCUGCGGUGUAGACGGCUUUCUGGACCAUUGCUGACGCUGAGACACGAAAGCGUGGGUAGCAAACAGG
rnacentral:rRNA from 1 species